rnacentral:rRNA from 1 species
UACAGAGGGGGCAAGCGUUGUUCGGAAUUACUGGGCGUAAAGCGUGCGCAGGCGGUGAUGUAAGACAGAUGUGAAAUUCCCGGGCUCAACCUGGGAACUGCAUUUGUGACUGCAUCGCUAGAGUACGGCAGAGGGGGAUGGAAUUCCGCGUGUAGCAGUGAAAUGCGUAGAUAUGCGGAGGAACACCGAUGGCGAAGGCAAUCCCCUGGACCUGUACUGACGCUCAUGCACGAAAGCGUGGGGAGCAAACAGG